AGCUCAGUAUGAAGAGCUGACGGAAUUCUGCGGUGGGCCAGGUGGCUCUGGCGUCGAUUGUUUAAGGCGACUGUUAAUGACUACAACACACCAUUGAGUCUUGGUCCCAAGGCGCUGGUGCACAUGGUACUUCCCGAAAUCCCUGUAGAGCCGCUGGAGCAGGAGCCCCGAUCCCACGUUUGGGCAGCUGACUCGCCUAAGGCCUCCAGCUGAAAGCGGAAUUGCAGGGGUAUCUUAUUGACAGCCGGUGGUUCAAGCAGUGGAAGAAGUAUGUGGGCUUUGACAGCUGGGACAUGUACAAUGUGGGUGAACAUAACCUAUUUCCUGGCCCAAUAGACAACUCUGGGCUAUUUUCAGAUCCUGAGAGUCAGACCUUGAAAGAACACUUAAUUGAUGAAUUGGACUAUGUAUUGGUCCCCACCGAGGCGUGGAAUAAACUACUAAACUGGUACGGCUGUGUAGAAGGCCAGCAACCCAUCGUCAGAAAAGUUGUGGAGCAUGGCCUGUUUGUCAAGCACUGCAAAGUCGAGGUGUAUUUGCUGGAACUAAAGCUCUGUGAGAACAGUGACCCCACCAAUGUGCUGAGUUGCCAUUUCAGCAAGGCAGACACCAUUGCAACCAUCGAGAAAGAGAUGCGGAAGCUAUUCAACAUCCCUGCGGAGCGUGAAACACGGCUCUGGAACAAAUACAUGAGCAACACCUACGAGCAGUUGAGCAAGCUAGACAACACUGUCCAGGAUGCUGGGCUAUACCAGGGUCAGGUGCUAGUAAUUGAGCCUCAAAAUGAAGAUGGCACAUGGCCCAGGCAGACCUUGCAGUCA
rnacentral:sRNA from 1 species